rnacentral:rRNA from 1 species
UACGAAGGGUGCAAGCGUUACUCGGAAUUACUGGGCGUAAAGCGUGCGCAGGCGGUUUUGUAAGUCUGGCGUGAAAGCCCCGGGCUCAACCUGGGAAUUGCGAUGGAGACUGCAAGGCUAGAAUCUGGCAGAGGGGGGUAGAAUUCCACGUGUAGCAGUGAAAUGCGUAGAGAUGUGGAGGAACACCGAUGGCGAAGGCAGCCCCCUGGGUCAAGAUUGACGCUCAUGCACGAAAGCGUGGGGAGCAAACAGG